GAUGAACGCUGGCGGCGUGCCUAAUACAUGCAAGUCGAGCGAACGGACGAGAAGCUUGCUUCUCUGAUGUUAGCGGCGGACGGGUGAGUAACACGUGGAUAACCUACCUAUAAGACUGGGAUAACUUCGGGAAACCGGAGCUAAUACCGGAUAAUAUUUUGAACCGCAUGGUUCAAAAGUGAAAGACGGUCUUGCUGUCACUUAUAGAUGGAUCCGCGCUGCAUUAGCUAGUUGGUAAGGUAACGGCUUACCAAGGCAACGAUGCAUAGCCGACCUGAGAGGGUGAUCGGCCACACUGGAACUGAGACACGGUCCAGACUCCUAUGGGAGGCAGCAGUAGGGAAUCUUCCGCAAUGGGCGAAAGCCUGACGGAGCAACGCCGCGUGAGUGAUGAAGGUCUUCGGAUCGUAAAACUCUGUUAUUAGGGAAGAACAUAUAUGUAAGUAACUGUGCACAUCUUGACGGUACCUAAUCAGAAAGCCACGGCUAACUACGUGCCAGCAGCCGCGGUAAUACGUAGGUGGCAAGCGUUAUCCGGAAUUAUUGGGCGUAAAGCGCGCGUAGGCGGUUUUUUAAGUCUGAUGUGAAAGCCCACGGCUCAACCGUGGAGGGUCAUUGGAAACUGGAAAACUUGAGUGCAGAAGAGGAAAGUGGAAUUCCAUGUGUAGCGGUGAAAUGCGCAGAGAUAUGGAGGAACACCAGUGGCGAAGGCGACUUUCUGGUCUGUAACUGACGCUGAUGUGCGAAAGCGUGGGGAUCAAACAGGAUUAGAUACCCUGGUAGUCCACGCCGUAAACGAUGAGUGCUAAGUGUUAGGGGGUUUCCGCCCCUUAGUGCUGCAGCUAACGCAUUAAGCACUCCGCCUGGGGAGUACGACCGCAAGGUUGAAACUCAAAGGAAUUGACGGGGACCCGCACAAGCGGUGGAGCAUGUGGUUUAAUUCGAAGCAACGCGAAGAACCUUACCAAAUCUUGACAUCCUUUGACAACUCUAGAGAUAGAGCUUUCCCCUUCGGGGGACAAAGUGACAGGUGGUGCAUGGUUGUCGUCAGCUCGUGUCGUGAGAUGUUGGGUUAAGUCCCGCAACGAGCGCAACCCUUAAGCUUAGUUGCCAUCAUUAAGUUGGGCACUCUAAGUUGACUGCCGGUGACAAACCGGAGGAAGGUGGGGAUGACGUCAAAUCAUCAUGCCCCUUAUGAUUUGGGCUACACACGUGCUACAAUGGACAAUACAAAGGGCAGCGAAACCGCGAGGUCAAGCAAAUCCCAUAAAGUUGUUCUCAGUUCGGAUUGUAGUCUGCAACUCGACUACAUGAAGCUGGAAUCGCUAGUAAUCGUAGAUCAGCAUGCUACGGUGAAUACGUUCCCGGGUCU
rnacentral:rRNA from 1 species